AUUGAACGCUGGCGGCAGGCCUAACACAUGCAAGUCGAACGAGUGGCGGACGGGUGAGUAAUGUCUGGGAAACUGCCUGAUGGAGGGGGAUAACUACUGGAAACGGUAGCUAAUACCGCAUACCAUCAGAUGUGCCCAGAUGGGAUUAGCUUGUUGGUGGGGUAACGGCUCACCAAGGCGACGAUCCCUAGCUGGUCUGAGAGGAUGACGAGCCACACUGGAACUGAGACACGGUCCGGACUCCUACGGGAGGCAGCAGUGAGGAAUAUUGCACAGUGGGCACGAGCCUGAUGCAGCCAUGCCGCGUGUAUGAGGAGAACCUUCGGGUUGUAAAGUACUUUCAGCGGGGGGGCGUUACCCGCAGAAGAAGCACCGGCUAACUCCGUGCCAGCAGCCGCGGUAAUUC
rnacentral:rRNA from 1 species